UACGAAGGGGGCUAGCGUUGCUCGGAAUCACUGGGCGUAAAGCGCACGUAGGCGGAUUGCUAAGUCAGGGGUGAAAUCCUGGAGCUCAACUCCAGAACUGCCUUUGAUACUGAAGAUCUUGAGUUCGGGAGAGGUGAGUGGAACUGCGAGUGUAGAGGUGAAAUUCGUAGAUAUUCGCAAGAACACCAGUGGCGAAGGCGGCUCACUGGCCCGAUACUGACGCUGAGGCACGAAAGCGUGGGGAGCAAACAGG
rnacentral:rRNA from 1 species